rnacentral:rRNA from 1 species
CCUACGGGUGGCAGCAGUGAGGAAUAUUGGUCAAUGGACGAGAGUCUGAACCAGCCAAGUAGCGUGAAGGAUGACUACCCUAUGGGUUGUAAACUUCUUUUAUAAAGGAAUAAAACGAGGCACGUGUGCCUUUUUGCAUGUACUUUAUGAUUAAGGAUCGGCUAACUCCGUGCCAGCAGCCGCGGUAAUACGGAGGAUCCGAGCGUUAUCCGGAUUUAUUGGGUUUAAAGGGAGCGUAGAUGGGUUGUUAAGUCAGUUGUGAAAGUUUGCGGCUCAACCGUAAAAUUGCAAUUGAUACUGGCAGUCUUGAGUACAGUUGAGGUAGGCGGAAUUCGUGGUGUAGCGGUGAAAUGCUUAGAGAUCACGAAGAACCCCGAUUGCGAAGGCAGCUUACUAAACUGUGACUGACAUUGAUGCUCGAAAGUGUGGGUAUCGAACAGGAUUAGAUACCCGGGUAGUC